AAACGGGGGCCGCAGGCAUCACACACACAAGUCGGACGGGAGCACAGAGAGCUUGUUCUUGGGUGACGAGUGGCGGACGGGUGAGUAAUGUCUGGGGAUCUGCCCGAUAGAGGGGGAUAACCACUGGAAACGGUGGCUAAUACCGCAUAACGUCGCAAGACCAAAGAGGGGGACCUUCGGGCCUCUCACUAUCGGAUGAACCCAGAUGGGAUUAGCUAGUAGGCGGGGUAAUGGCCCACCUAGGCGACGAUCCCUAGCUGGUCUGAGAGGAUGACCAGCCACACUGGAACUGAGACACGGUCC
rnacentral:rRNA from 1 species